rfam:Picea glauca, whole genome shotgun sequence.
GCUGAUGAUGAUAUUCAAUCAAUGAUUGGAGUUGCAGAUGGUUCCAAGUCCUUGAUAUUCAAGGAGAACCUACUUGGAGUUGCCACUGCAUUUCAAUGACAAUACUGGUUCUUCACUGAGGC